AACUUUCGGCUACGGAUCUCUUGGCUCUCGCAUCGAUGAAGAACGCAGCGAAAUGCGAUAAGUAAUGUGAAUUGCAGAUUUUCAGUGAAUCAUCGAAUCUUUAAACGCACCUUGCGCCCCUUGGUAUCCCGUGGGGCAUGCCUGUUUGAGUGUCCUCCAUUCGUCAACCCUCUCGGAUUUCUUUGGGUGGGGAUUGGACUUGGGGCGUGCUUUCGAUGGUCGGCUCCUCUUUAAAUGCCUCAGCGGAGAAAAUGCCUUUUUCGCCUCUGGCCGUUCAGCGUGAUAAUGACGUUGCGCUGCGGUCGAGCUCAAGGUCCGCUUCCAAAGAUCCUCGGACGAACGUAAACAUGACUUUUGACCUCAAAUCAGGUAGGACUACCCGCUGAACUUAAGCAUAUCAAUAAGCGGAGGCU
rnacentral:misc_RNA from 1 species